rnacentral:rRNA from 1 species
AUUGAACGCUGGCGGCAUGCCUUACACAUGCAAGUCGAACGGCAGCGCGGACCUCGGUCUGGCGGCGAGUGGCGAACGGGUGAGUAAUACAUCGGAACGUACCCUGUUGUGGGGGAUAACUAGUCGAAAGAUUAGCUAAUACCGCAUACGACCUGAGGGUGAAAGUGGGGGACCGCAAGGCCUCACGCAGCAGGAGCGGCCGAUGUCUGAUUAGCUAGUUGGUGGGGUAAAGGCCACCAAGGCGACGAUCAGUAGCUGGUCUGAGAGGACGAUCAGCCACACUGGGACUAGGAAACGGCCCAGACUCCUACGGGAGGCAGCAGUGGGGAAUUUUGGACAAUGGGGGCAACCCUGAUCCAGCAAUGCCGCGUGUGUGAAGAAGGCCUUCGGGUUGUAAAGCACUUUUGUCCGGAAAGAAAUCGCGCUGGUUAAUACCUGGCGUGGAUGACGGUACCGGAAGAAUAAGCACCGGCUAACUACGUGCCAGCCGCCGCCGUAA